UCUUUUUCUAGGAAAUCCAUCCUAAGAUGAGAAUCUCAUCAGAAACUUCCCUUCCAGGCCUGAAGCCUUCCAGUAGCCUCUUUGUGGACAUGUCAGAGCUUUGGUAGAGUCUGAGGCUCAAGUUCAAAUCCUGAGCAAGGUCUUAAAUAUUCCUGCUCAGCCGGAUUCACCCUUUGGGAUGUGAGUACUAGUGGGCCUCAGCCUCUCGAGUCAUUAGAACUACAGGAAAAAAAAAAAGAACACACAGAAAAUGUCUCUGAGCCCACAGACACAUUCAUCAGCUAAAGGACUGCCGAGGACCUUAGCCCAAAGCUCUCUGCCCACUCUCUGGGUCUGAGUGAUUGACGAUGUCGGGAGUGUCACUGCUGGAAGGAAUUCAGGAUCAGAACCACUUUCAUCUUGUGUCAGGAGUCUGAACUCCAUGGCUGUCUGGUGUCUGCCAGGAAGAGAAAAUUUGGACACACAGGGAGAAAACCACAGGGAGGAGAUGGCCAUCUACAAUUCCAGAAAAGCAGCCUCAGAAGAAACCAAUCUGCAAACAUCUUUAUCUGCAACUCCCUGCCUCCCAAAUGGAGGGUGUCUGCUGUCAGAGAUGGGCAAGGAUGGGUGUCAGCCAUUGGAGAGCUGUUCCAGGGAGGGAGCCCGACCACUCUCUGGCCUUAGCCAGCCCAGUCAGCACUGGAGAAAGACCUCAUCCAACGCUGAAAUAGAUGGUGCUAGUGUAUGCAUUACAAUAGCAGGUACUGCUUUGAACUGUACAGGAAUCUGCGCCUAAAAGGAAGAGGGCAGAAUGCCCGACAGUUGGGAAGACUAUAGUGAAGCCAUUCCGCGGGACCUCCUCCCUCUACUUGCAGGGCGGCCUGGUGCGCAGAAACAGGGUCUUGCUAUGUUGACCAGGCUGAUCUCAAACUUCUGACCUCAAGCAGUCCUUCCACCUCAGCCUCCUGAAACACUGGGAUUACAGGCCAGAGCCACCAUGCCAGGCUAUGAAGUUUUAUUUUAAGUUUCGAGAUGUGGGGAUUUCUUUUUUAAAGCAGCAAGUACUACCUGAACUAAAACGGGUGAUUUUGCAACUUGCUACGGAUUAUGGAAAUAGUUGGCAUCUAUAUUGGUGAGGUACCCACCAAAACUCAAACAGAAGGAAUGCCAUUUUGGAGAACGAAUCUCAACUUUAACCUUCUUUCAUCCGUGGGUCGCCUCCAGAGCUGAGAGAAAUGCAUAUUUGUUGUGAGUAAAGAGACAGAAAGGGAAUGAAUUUCCAAGAAGACCAGCGUAGAACGGAAAAAUAUCAGAGGAGGGAGAAUUGUUAAGGAUUUCCAGUAUCUCAAGUGUGGAUGCUGUCCUGAGCUGACCCAAGGCUCUGGAAAGGUGAAAUCCUACUCACCAAUAACAAGAAAUGAAUUAUUGACAAAUGCAGUAACUUGGAUGAAUCUCCAGGACCUUCUGUGAGGUGACAGAUUAUGAUGUAAUCAUUGAUGGCUGUUAACAUCACACAAUAAGGCCUUAUGAAACUCACACAGCACCACCUCUAAAGCAGUCUUGUCACAAAAUAUUAAACCUGGACCUGAUCAAGCAUCUGGACUGGCUUAUGGAUAUAGAGAAAAUGUAGGGGAUAGAUGAGCACGGGAAAUGUCUCCGUGGGGCAAAAUUCACGAAAUUCAGAUUGUUGGACACUCUCCAGGACAAAAGGUCUAGAUUCUUCAAAAACAACAACAUCGAAAAAAAAAAACUGCCAGAAAGAAAAAAUACAGAGGGAGAAGGACACAGAACACAUUUAUGAGUCUUUUCACCCUCAUUUCGUUGAAGAUUUUAUUGGCCGAAGAACCCUCAGUAGGCACGAAAUUCAUUCUCACAAGCAGAGAGAUGCAUUAUGCUCCAUUUAUUGCUCAUCCUAAAUUAUAAACAUUUCCAGUGAAUGUAAAGGAAGAUAUGAUUGAAAAGGACUCUGUGAAGACAGGAUGUUUCUGUACAGUCCUUGUAUCUGCUCACCUAUUCCAAACUUUCCAGAGAUUUUACCAGAGGUUUAAGAUAUUCUCCUGAGGGUUUGCUGUAGAGAGAUUUUUCUUAACUAAGGAGUGCAAGUAGCAAGCAAUAGCCCACCCAGUUGGAGACAAAAAAGAAGGGUGUCAGUGUUCCCACUGUUAAAAAACAAAAAAAAAUCACCCUGGACACCUCUGAGAAUUAUACAAGGGGAUGUACACAGCCCUGCUUUAUUUGAGUUCAAAAGGAAGGUGGGUUUUGAAAGAAGAACAAGGAGAGUAGAUCUCUCUGGAUCUUCUGAUGCUCACAGCAAAGAGCUCAAGGUAUCUGAGUCAACUCUUGAGGCUUCUUCGAACAGAGGGAUGAAGAGAGAAUAUGGCAAGCUUGCCAACAGAUCCCAGAAGUUUUAAGAGAAAAGAACAGAUUGCUCUUUGCAAAACAAACCGAGCUGGGUGCAUGGAGCCCCAGUAGACAGAAAGUGAAGAAAACAUCAACGUUCUGAAGUUUUAGAUAGGUGCACCAUCCCUUAUGGAUACCAAUCUGUGCUCCCCAUAAACUUCUGUGCCCAGGGUCAACUGGCCAGGGACAACUGGCUCACCAGGAGGCCUACAUAGCCUCUUCUUCAGGCCCUAAUUACAGCUCUAUGCAAUAGGGACUCUGCCAUCUGACAGCCAAGGAGGUGGUUCGGUUUCUGCACAUGGUUUUUUCCGCUGGGUCCCUUGAGGUCCAUGGUAACCUCUUCCUCAUUCUCUACAGGCAGAUCACACUUUGUAAUAAGAUCAGAGGCAGAGAACUUUGACCAGAUCACACUUUAUAAUAAGAUCAGAGGCAAAGAACUCUGACCAGAUCACACUUUAUAAUAAGAUCAGAGGCAGAGAACUUUGACAACUAUCUCCUUGCCCUCUGGCCCUGGGGUCAGGGCUACUCAAACAACACCUGCUGUCCCAAACCCGGAGAAGUGUAGAUUUUGGCACUGGUAGAGGAAUAACAGCUAUUGUUGACACUUAAUCUUGUGGGCCUGGAAUUUCAACUAUGUUUUCACAACUCGGAGCCUAUUGCUGCCACCUCUGUCAGGGAAGAUAAAUGGGCAUGAAUAAUAGACAGAUGAGUUUCCCAAAAGCCCAGACAGGCUGCAGGGAACACGUAAUGAGCAGACAGUGUGGUUCACGCCGGGGAGCCCAGGUUUAUCCAGGCCUCAUCCUCACUCCCUUUCUCUACUGAUAAUUGGACCCAACAGGACCAUUCCGAAUCAUUUUUCUCUCUUCAGUUAUUCUUCAGUUCUACUCAAAGGGUGAAGAAAGAUGAUACGAUGUGAUGGACAACAGAGACUUAUAUGGUGGGGUCUGGGCUGGUCUUUCUGAAGCUAAGACUGGCAGGAUGAGCAGGAGUUUGCCAGACAAAGAGGAGUGGAGUUGUUUUCCAAACACAUCUCAGCACAAAGUGUUGUCUUUGCUGGGAGCUGAAAAAAGAUAGUGUGGGCAGAGACCAUUAGGUGAGACGCUUGAUAUGAGAUACAACCUCAACAGGUGGAAGAAGAUCAUGAGAGAUGAAGAGAGGAAUAUAGUACAGCAGAGAGGACACAGAAGCUGACGUCAGGGUGUCUCAGUUUGAAACCAGUGGCCACCCUGUUCCUCUCCCAUGUGGUCCCAUCAUGGGCCUCUAGGGUCUGGGAUAAGAGGUUAAUGAAUAUCUCAUACCCUAAGCAGGGGUGGUCCCUGCACUUUAGCAAAAAGUUAAGGAACUAGGGAAAAGAGAUGGAAAUAAUAAAGAGAUGGGACAAAGACUUUGAAGACCAAAGCCCCUGGGCUAUUCUCUUUUUUAAAUUUUUUUAUUUAAAUUUUCAUUUAUUUUUAUCAAGAUAGGGUCUCACUAUGUUGCCCAGGUUGGUCUCAAACUUUUGGCCUAAAGCAAUCCUCCCACCUUGGCCUCCCAAUGUGCUGGGAUUACAAUGUGAGCCACCACGUCCAGCCUCCUGGGAUAUUUCUCAAUGAAACAUUGGAUGCCAAGAUUGGUUUUGUGCCACAUGCCAAUUUCACAGAAGCCAGUCUAUGAGCCACCAGCUCUACUCAGCAAUUACAGUUUCUGGAACUUUGGCUAAAUUCCUGUAGAUGCACCACUGCUUGUGGCCUGACUCUUUGCCACCCAAGUGCGCUCAGCCUCCCCUGGGGAGUCUGCCAGGCUUGCAUGGCUCCCACUGCACUUGCUGUGCUGGGACCGAAAACAGUUUUUGUGCCCCUAGCUUAACUCCACUGGAUUCAUAGAGGCUUUGGCCUCCUCAAUGGCUGUCCUGGGACAGGGAGGCUGGUUAGCACAAUUAACACAACCUGGUCAUGCAAGGCAUUGAUGGUCCGUAACAUGAACUUUGACCAGUAGGAGACAGAGAAUGGAAAAAAGCCAGCAGAUAAAUCAUCUGGCCUUCCUCCCCUAUGACAGACUGUUCUGAGCCACAGUGUUUCACAUGUCUUCCUGGAGAUGUCCCACAUGACUUGAGCAACCAGCUGGAGCUCUGGAGAAACUGUGGCCAUCCUGGGGAAGAAACAGGCCCAGAGAAGUUGGGUAACUCAUCAAAGGUCACAGAGCUAAGAGUGGCAGAGUCAGGCCUGGAGCCCAGGAAGUCUGGUUUCGAAUUUCAUGCUUCUAACCUGAGCACUGUACUGCUUGGUGGAGUUCUCUGCUAGUCCUACCUUUCAGGCAGAGGUGAUGCAGCAAGAAAGCUGCCACCAGAUGCAGCCCCUUGAUCUCGGACUGCCCAGCCUCUAGAACUGUGAGCCAAUUAAAUUUUUCCUUUGUAAAUUACCUAGUCUCUGGUAUCCUGUUAUAGCAGCAU
rnacentral:lncRNA from 1 species